UGUUUAAUAAAUGAACAAUUUCAGUAUGGUUUCUACGUAAAGCAGCUUGAAGAGGAGACUCAUUAUCUUUAUUACAAAUGUUAGGAUCACAACUAUAAUUAAUCAAUAAUUAAACAAUCUCCGUACAACAAUUCAGUGAUGCCACAAACAGAGGUGGUUGAUUAUCUCUAUCACAAAUGGUAGGAUCACAGUUGUGAUCUAAUAAUAAUUUCAUAAUUUCAAUAUGAUUUUGAAAAGAAGUGUCUGGUAAAGAUGACUUAUUGUCAAAGUGAAAUAUAAAAUUAGAAAAAUCAUCUAACAAACCAAUUGAUGCACAAGCUACAAAUAGAGGAGAUUCAUUGUCUUUAUUACAUAUAUUAGGAUCACUUUUAUGAUCUAACAAUAAUUUAACAGUUUCAGUAUGACCACUCUU
rnacentral:lncRNA from 1 species